AGCCCAGCUCACUCUAUUCCCCAACCACCAUUCUGAAGUACCAGCGAGGGAACUGCUUUGACUUCACUGUGCUGCUGUGCUCGCUGCUGAUCGGGGCUGGCUACGAUGCCUACUGUGUACAUGGAUAUGCCACCCUCGAGAUGUGCUCCCUGGACCAGACUCAGGAGCUGUGCCCACGGCUCAGGAAGCCCCCAGAGGUACCAGAAGAGGAGGAUCCCAACAAAUAUAGAAUUAAGUACCCUUCAGAGCCACAGAGCCAGUUUGAGCUUCAGCAGAAGGCCAAGAAGGAGGAAGAAACUGAGUCCACACAAGAGGAGGAAAGAGAAGAGGAGGUGGUCGUGGAGGUGGAUAAGCCCAAGCGAGACCCUUUGCAUGGCUUGCGGGUGCACGCCUGGGUUCUGGUUCUGUCUGGAAAGAGGAAGGUUCCCGAGACCUUCUUCAUCAACCCGUUCACAGGAAAUCGCCACAGCACCAGGGAUGAGUGCUUCCUUGGGAUUGAGAGCAUCUGGAACCACAGGAACUACUGG
rnacentral:lncRNA from 1 species